rnacentral:rRNA from 1 species
GCCAUCCGUGACAGCACGUUGAAUGUAUCAGUUCCCAAUGGAUCACUGAAGUUAAGCUACGUUCCGCGUGGUUGGUAUCCAAAUGGGUGACCAUCUGGGCAACCGCGUGCUGCUCGCA